rnacentral:rRNA from 1 species
UACGGAGGAUGCGAGCGUUAUCCGGAUUUAUUGGGUUUAAAGGGUGCGUAGGCGGGCAUUUAAGCCGGCGGUCAAAUGUCGGGGCUCAACCCCGGCCUGCCGUCGGAACUGGGUGCCUUGAGUGGGCGAGAAGUAUGCGGAAUGCGUGGUGUAGCGGUGAAAUGCAUAGAUAUCACGAAGAACUCCGAUUGCGAAGGCAGCUUACCAGUCUGCGACUGACGCUCAGGCACGAAAGUGUGGGUAUCGAACAGG